CACGUAGGGUGCGAGCGUUGUCCGGAAUUACUGGGCGUAAAGCGUGCGCAGGCGGUUCGGCAAGUCAGGUGUGAAAUCCCCGGGCUUAACCUGGGAAUUGCGCUUGAAACUAGCGGGCUUGAGUGUGGCAGAGGGGGGUGGAAUUCCACGUGUAGCAGUGAAAUGCGUAGAGAUGUGGAGGAACACCGAUGGCGAAGGCAGCCCCCUGGGUCAACACUGACGCUCAUGCACGAAAGCGUGGGGAGCAAACAGG
rnacentral:rRNA from 1 species